CCUACGGGGGGCAGCAGUGGGGAAUAUUGGACAAUGGGGGCAACCCUGAUCCAGCCAUGCCGCGUGUGUGAAGAAGGCCCUCGGGUUGUAAAGCACUUUCAGUGAGGAAGAACGCCUGGUGGUUAAUACCCAUCAGGAAAGACAUCACUCACAGAAGAAGCACCGGCUAACUCCGUGCCAGCAGCCGCGGUAAUACGGAGGGUGCGAGCGUUAAUCGGAAUUACUGGGCGUAAAGCGCGCGUAGGUGGCUUGAUAAGCCGGUUGUGAAAGCCCCGGGCUCAACCUGGGAACGGCAUCCGGAACUGUCAAGCUAGAGUGCAGGAGAGGAAGGUAGAAUUCCCGGUGUAGCGGUGAAAUGCGUAGAGAUCGGGAGGAAUACCAGUGGCGAAGGCGGCCUUCUGGACUGACACUGACACUGAGGUGCGAAAGCGUGGGUAGCAAACAGGAUUAGAUACCCUUGGAGUC
rnacentral:rRNA from 1 species